rnacentral:rRNA from 1 species
GACGAACGCUGGCGGCGUGCUUAACACAUGCAAGUCGAACGGAAAGGCCCCUUUGGGGGUACUCGAGUGGCGAACGGGUGAGUAACACGUGAGUAACCUGCCCUUGACUUCGGGAUAACUUCAGGAAACUGGGGCUAAUACCGGAUAGGAAUCCUUGCUGCAUGGUGGGGGUUGGAAAGCUUCGGCGGUUUUGGAUGGACUCGCGGCUUAUCAGCUUGUUGGUGGGGUAGUGGCUUACCAAGGCUUUGACGGGUAGCCGGCCUGAGAGGUCGACCGGCCACAUUGGGACUGAGAUACGGCCCAGACUCCUACGGGAGGCAGCAGUGGGGAAUAUUGCACAAUGGGCGGAAGCCUGAUGCAGCAACGCCGCGUGCGGGAUGACGGCCUUCGGGUUGUAAACCGCUUUCAGCAGGGGCGAAGCUUGUGGUGACGGUACCUGCAGAAGAAGCACCGGCUAACUACGUG